UACAGAGGGGGCAAGCGUUGUUCGGAAUUACUGGGCGUAAAGGGCGCGUAGGCGGCCUGCUAAGUCGGACGUGAAAUCCCUGGGCUCAACCCAGGAACUGCGUCCGAUACUGGUUGGCUUGAAUCCGGGAGAGGGAUGUGGAAUUCCAGGUGUAGCGGUGAAAUGCGUAGAUAUCUGGAGGAACACCGGUGGCGAAGGCGACAUCCUGGACCGGCAUUGACGCUGAGGAGCGAAGGCCAGGGGAGCAAACGGG
rnacentral:rRNA from 1 species